rnacentral:misc_RNA from 1 species
UGUGGGAGCGAGCCUGCUCGCGAUGGCGUCGGUUCAGCUUGCAUCAAUAUUGGCUGACAUGCCGCCAUCGCGAGCAGGCUCGCUCCCACA